rnacentral:rRNA from 1 species
UAGGGAAUUUUCCACAAUGGGCGAAAGCCUGAUGGAGCAACGCCGCGUGCAGGACGAAGGCCUUCGGGUUGUAAACUGCUUUUAUCUGUGAAGAUUAUGACAGUAACAGAAGAAUAAGGGUCUGCUAACUACGUGCAAGCAGCCGCGGUCAUACGUAGGACCCAAGCGUUAUCCGGAAUUACUGGGCGUAAAGAGUUGCGUAGGUGGCAAAGUAAGUGAAUAGUGAAAGCGUGUGGCUCAACCAUACAUACAUUGUUUAAACUACUUAGCUAGAGCACAAGAGAGGUAACUGGAAUUUCUAGUGUAGGAGUGAAAUCCGUAGAUAUUAGAAGGAACACCGAUGGCGUAAGCAGGUUACUGGCUUGUUGCUGACACUCAGGCACGAAAGCGUGGGGAGCGAACGGG